GAAGGCGCGGGAAGAAUUUCGAGAGAUAAAUCCGUUAUCGUACGACUGUUCGACGAUACGCGAAUCUCGCGCAGCAGGUGUACCGUUCAAGUUAAACGAGUUUAAAACGAAAUACAUACAGGGCACGAUGGAAAAUUAUGAAAUACGUGCAGUCGAUUUUCAUCAUUACGGUACGAGGAAAGCGCAAAAUAGAGAGCAAGUAUAGCGCAAGGGAGCGCAAGUUUCGUCGUGACCCAAUCUCGUUUCAUCUAGGCUGAGUGGAGUGGACUCAUCCAAUUUGGGCUACUCAGCAAACACUGAUUUUCGCUAGUAGAACGUCGACGAAACUCUGAGAGGGCAAAGCGGUUUGCAAGUGAGAUUGCGGCAUUGGAAGUGAAGUCAAGGGAAGCCGAUCAACGGGCGCGAUAAAAAACAGCGUGUACUUUGCGCGAUUAAUUGAGAGAAAAGUGGAGUGUUAGAAGAAAGCGGCCGUGAAAAGAGAAACCAUGUUGUUACAACUCAUAAACCCAAGAUUUUUACUCGAUUAAUGAUUAUUUUAACGCAUCGUGUACGUGAGUCUUGAUCAAACGAGUAUACGCUAUACUAGAUGUAUUCCUAAUUUGACUAGCUAUAAGAAUAAAUCAUUGUAAAUUAUAGGCAUAUAUAGUAUCUUAGUUAGUAGUUUAUUAUCUGGAAUUGUUAAUAUAAGAUUUGAUAAACUAAUCAGUGAUUAUGGUGAACCAGAGAGGAAUGCACGAGAUUGCAUAAUGCGAUCGUUGAACGCAGCGACACGUAGGUCUCAGCAACGUGCCAGAAACGAAAAUACCUCGCCGGAAAGGUAACCAAAAAUCACAUGAGUUUACAAAUCGAAAUUCGAUUCGCUUUGCUCCAAGUCAUUGUUCUUUUAUUUUGUGUAUGGCAUGAAUAGGUAAAAUAUUUUUUGUUCCAUGCUAUUAGGAAAUUAGCUCGUUUGUACAGUUGUUAUAGUUGUAAGAACGAUUUCCACUUAAAUAUGGCCCCGUUGCGUUGUUGACAUUACGUGAAAUUCUCACAACCAAGACUAACUGUUUCCUCGUGAGAGAGAAUGUUCAAGGAAAGGGAAAGUUCGAGGGGUUAGUUGGUUCGAGUAAAGAGAACGAGUAAGACUUAAGCUGCUUUCACUAUUUUCUGAAAAUGUUCUCUCUCUUUUCCCUUGAUUUUCCUUUUUAACAAGGAUAAAUUGAAUUUCGCGGCAUUAUCUUCGUAAUCAGCCAUCAACUGACGGUUGGCUGAUGAGAAUCACUCACUAACUUAAGAACGUAUUUGUGGUUGUUCAGACAUAAUUGUCUAUUAAUUACAUAAGAAUGUCUGUUAUUACUCGUUCUAUAACGAGUACACCUAAGUAUAGAAUUCGUUUAGAUUUUAUCUUUCAGUUAUGCUUUCACCAGGUGAAAUGCGACAGUUCGAUGAAACUUCGUUACUCGUCGUAACAAAAAAUGUGGAUAUCUCCUCAUAAGCAAUCUAAGUAAACAUAGUUAUCCAAGAUCGAUUACUUGCGCACACAACUUUCUGUACCCACAUUAAGGAAAUACCAUAUCUCAAACUCCAUUACCUUACCUACCUACCAUCAAAGUACACACGUUCACCCUUAUUCACCUUACUAAUUACUAAACCUAUAAUCCUAAACUACUUAACCCAUUACCCUGCAGCGUGAAAUGUAUGUAUAUACAUCCUCAUUCUGAUAGUGGAGGAUUGUAGGGCAACACAAAGCAUCAAACACAUGGUCCUUGUUAUUUAGUUUAAUAAGUAUCUAUUAAAAAAGUGGCAAUUUUAAUGUUAGUGUAGACAUGUAAAGAAGAGAUAUAUAAAAAAGUAUAGUAACAAUUGCAUAGAUAUAAUUGAGAGGCUUUAAUCUAUCUAACAAAAUAAUAUAAGUGAGAUGGUUUAAUCUUAAAUAACUAUUCGGAUUCCAAUCAUUUAACGUUUCAAACAGUCCUACGAAACUCUCAUUCGCAGACUAGUGAUUGCCAAAAAUUCGGAUCAAUCGCAAAGUUCCAAAAGGAAAUAAAAAAAGUUCGACGGAACGUGAUGGCGCAGCGCGGUCCCCGCAGUCGAUAAAAACGCGAUGAAGUGCCUGCGCAAUGCCCAGUGACAGAGGGAGAUUCGAUGUUUCGCAGGCUUUGUUCAUAUACGCGGGCUCGUA